ACAACUCAUAUUUAACACUUAUUGCAAGCCAGCAAAUAGAUAAUUUGGGUUGUAUCGGUAAACAAGACUAGGGUUUGAAAUAUUCAAUAUGUGGGCUUGUACUAUUGCCAUAGUUUGGAUGUUGUUAUUAAUAGACAUUUGGACCUUUAUGAGAGUAAUUUGCUCUGGAAUUUCAACUAAGGAAGAGAUUUCUGUUGGCAUUUGCCAACUAUACAAUGGAACGACAUGCAGUAAAUAUUUGUCGAAUAAAAGCGUUUUUAUACCUCCAAACUUUACUCUGGAGGAUUUUGAAGAAAGAUUGCGUGCAGCGUAUGGAGUUAUAAAGGAAUCGAAUUUAGUAUUAAGAAAGUGCAAAUAGAAAAAAAUGUGGCAGUGAAAUGGACUCAUGAGGCUGUAGAACAUCUAACUGUAUACGUGCAACAACAUCCCUGUUUAUAUAACUGUCGUUCCCCUGAGUAUUUGGACAGGGUUAAAAAGGCCCAAGUAUGGUCAAAAGUUGGGGACGGAUUGUUAAAAUAUGAUGGUUCCCUACAUGUAAAGGAGGCCCAGCGAAAAUGGAGGAAUUUAAGAGUGCAAUUUAUGCAGGACCAAAGGCUUCUCGCAAACUCAAGGAAAAGUGGCGCAGGAAAUGGCUAUCUCUAUUCACCUAAGCUAUGGUGCUAUGAUCAUUUAUGCCUCUUAAAAACGCAUAACAUUGAGGAAAGUUUUCGCUAAAGGCGUCAUGAUAUAUGUAUAUAAUUAUUAUGUACUUACAUUUUCAGAACACAGUUCCGGAACACAUUGUAAAGGAUGUGAGCAAGGGUCAUGUAGAAGAUGUGUGCGAGGAUCAUGCGAAAGAUGUAAACGAGGAUUAUAAAUAUACCCAAGAACUACCAAAGAAGAAGCUUAAAGUAAAUCUUGUAUCCUUCAGAAGCUUUGCUUUUCCCUUUGUAAAAGAUCGGUUGACUGAUACUUUUUGUUUACUUAUUAUUACGUAGGAAGUAAAUAACAGCUCUUUCUUUUCAGAACACAAUGAAUAAUUUUAGAAAUGGCCUAAAUGUACUUAGGAAAGUUUUAUCUGAAAAGAAGAAAUUAAAGUUUGCAUGGUUGGGCAAUUUUGUUGCUGGGCAAAUGGAGGAAAUUAGUGUGGAACAUCAAAACGAAGCUGGAUGGCAAGUUCAGUGCCUUAUGAGGGAACUUAUAAGCAAACCACAAAAUAUCAGUCCACAAUCACUAAAAGACGUUUUGGAACUAUUAUUUAUUUAUGGAGGGGGUGUUCGUUGAAGGUAACGCUGAUAUAAGGACAAGCGGUUAUAGAAAAAAAUUUAAUUCUGCAAGAAUCUAUUGGUUAUCGUUGUAAAAUUCUGGCAGCUCAGGAACAGACCAUAUGCCGGGUGAGACGGCUGUCACUCGCCCGACAGCUGUUAAAAUUGUUCCAGUUACAGCACAUUAUAUUGUUCACAAGCGUACAAAAGCAUUUUGGUGAGCAUUUUCCAGAAAAAAAGUUAUUCGUGAUGGAAUUCUUUAUAUUUGGCUGAAAAACCACAAGUUCAUAUCGUUAGAGCACUCCAGCAUUUAAAUGUGAAUAAAUCUUUUGUGUCUCGUACCAUCGCUCGUUACCUUGAUACUUGUAGCGUAGCCCGACGUCAAGGAAGUGGACGUAAGAAAACAGCAACAUCAGCAGAAAUGGUUCGAAAAGUAAAGAAGCGACUUGAAACCCGCGAAGCAGACUAAAGAGCUAAAGAGGUGCUUCGCUUGGCCAAACGUGGUGGACUGCCGAAUUUGGUUUUCUCCGAUGAGAAAACAUUCAUUGUCCCGCAGUUUGUAAAAAACGAAAUUAUCGUGUUUACUUGCCAAUGAGGUCAGCCGAAAAUAUGCACCUUCGGUUGGCCACCAGAACUCAAGCGCCGUCCAUGGUGAUGGUGUGGGCCGCCAUAACAGCCGAUAGUACAUCUCCGCUUGUAUUAAUCGACCGUGGCAUCAGAAUAAAUUCCGAAUAUUUUCGCGAAAAUAUUUUGGAGAGUGUAUAAAAACCUUGGGCACGCAAACAUUUUGGCCGCAGACCUUGGACAUUCCAACAGGACUCAGCACCAUCGCACUCAGCAUGCGCCAUCCAAGAAUGGUUACAAAAUGAGAUUCAUCGCUUCAUUUCCAGCGCACAAUGGCCACCAAAAUCUCCGGAUACCAAUCCGUUGUACUAUUUUGUCUGGAGUAUUGUGAAAAGUAAGUUUGCCACUAAAAUAUACCAAAGUGUCGAUAACCUCUAGCGAGCGCUUCGCCGAGUGUUCAUAUGAACAGAAAUAGUGUAAUCUUACUAUAUGGAUUGCUAUUGAUUUCGAAUAAUAUAGAAUCUUGUAUGUUUAUGACAAAUGUUUAUGUUCAGCGAUAAGAUGUGUUUAUAGGAAAAGAGUUUAUGUUUAUGUGUAAUGAUAAGUGCUUGAGUAAUAUAUGACCAAACGCUAAUGCAUUGUAAAGUAUGAAAAAAUUCGAAAGGAAAUAAAAUCUUUUUGCUGAUAAUAAAGAAUUUGAAAAUUACCACACACAAAGAUAGCAAUGCAGUCAUUGAUAGCAUAAAGAAAUACCACCUCCUGCGUUGGGACAAAACAACCCCUGUUUGCAUUGAUGAUAUGCAUUAUUAGAACUGACUGUUAGAUUAGUGCAAGAUAAAAAAUUGUGAAAUAAAAUCAGAAUCGAAACAUCCGAACGUAAAGGUUGUUCUUUCCUUCCCAACUAAACAUUGGUCCUUCGAUAAUAAGAACCAGCGGCCGUAUAACAAAGAC